GACCAUAUUAUACCGGUGAAUAGGCUCCGCUUCGCUAGGUGGAGUUACAAGGCCUGUUGUAUGCAUUGGCACUGUAAUAUAUUAUGUAGUACAUGGGGCCAGCUUGUGUACAUUUAACCAAGCCCGGUACUUUCGGGUAUUGUAAACAGGCAGGUUACGUUGCCAGUGUUUUCUAGGGCUAAUGCAGACCAAAAGAAUGCAUUAGUUUCUGAUAGAAUUCUGGAUGUUUGUAUCCUGUUUACAAGAAGGAGACCCGGAGAGUAUCGACUACGGAUUUCCUCGUGUAUUUUCAUUCUCCGUUGCCGAAAUUCGACAAGUUUGUGAAGUUUUACGAACUUGCGGUUUUAGCACAUCACCGCUUUUGAGACGCGCUGAACUCCAGCGGAGCACCCUAGCCUGACCUCCGUACCGGAUUACGUUCAAGUGAGCUGCUCGCUGGACCCUGCUGUGUUGCUCUUGCAGAGUUAAAAAUUGGUACCGAUAAAGUACUGAAAUCUGUAUCUUUGGAAGGAGAAAUCACAUAGGAAUACCAGGGAAUGCAUUGAAGAAGUUAUUUGACAAUGUUAUCCCAAGUUCAGUAACUUUUUGCGUUACUGUCUGGUAAUGUUCUUUGAGAAAAUUACUGGGACAACUUCUUCAAAGUUAAAAGUUUGUGAACAUGGCCUGGUGAAGAAAUCUGCGGAGAAACCAUUUGCUGAAAAAGUUACGUCGGAUUAACAAUCAAGGAUUCUUAUUUAUAUUUUGUUUACUUGAACAGGAAGAUUGACUAUCUCAAAUUGUAUUCCUGCCUAUGAUUUGUGGUUUAUUCCCCCACAACUGAAGUGAAAAGUAACAACCGUCUCGCUCAUAACCGGUCUGGUUUUGGCGAUCCCAACCAACGCGCAGCGUCGGUAUUGAGAAUAGAACGUUCAGUGCAUUGUAGCGCUCUACAAUCUUACAACUUUUCUUGAAGAAAUCUUGUACAUUUACAUCGUUUAAGACAACCAAAAGCCAGAUGAUUGAAUUAAAACUUUUAUCCUACGGACUAGAGAUCUCCUUUUAACUGGUGGAUGUUUUAACUUGUCGGAAGGACCGCAAAGGAGUUUCCAAAAUGAGGACCAUUUUCAGGUUUACUUUAUUGACUCUGCUAACUUUCGUUCUGUCAGCCUUGCUUCCGGUAUCUGUCUAUGGAGCUUGUCUUCAUGAUGGAUUCCAUUACGCGGUAAGUUUUUGAAUAUUCAUAAGGAGAGAGAGAUGAAGAUGUAAACGUGAGAAGUAAGCAUUUCAUUAUCAUAUCAAAACAAAUAUGUGAUGGACAGACAGGGAGAAUUGGGAAGUAUGGAAAGAGAGA